rnacentral:piRNA from 1 species
UGAGCCACUGAGUUAUGAAUCCUGC